GAUGAACGCUGGCGGCGUGCUUAAUACAUGCAAGUCGAACGGAGAUAGUAGCAAUAUUAUCUUAGUGGCGAACGGGUGAGUAACGCGUUGGUGACCUGCCCCGAAGAGAGGGAUAGCAGUUCGAAAGGACUGAUAAUACCUCAUGUGGUUGUUGGUUUUAGAAUCUGACAACUAAACGGAUUUAUUCGCUUCGGGAGGGGCCUGCGUCCCAUCAGCUAGUUGGUAGGGUAAUGGCCUACCAAGGCGAUGACGGGUAGGGGACCUGAGAGGGUGGCCCCCCACAAUAGGAACGUAGAACAACGGACCGACUACACCUACCGGGUGGGCAG
rnacentral:rRNA from 1 species